rnacentral:lncRNA from 1 species
AGGACCUUUCUAGCCAUCCCUAUACGUAUGUUUCCCUUCGUAAACCCCGUUGAGCCUUAGCCAUUUUAUUCAUCGUAAACCCCAUGUUAACGUUUAAGCAUUAUUCAUUAUAAACCCCCUGUCAACUUUUAAUCAUCCAUUUCCUUUUGUGUCAUAACUCGGUAUGAUUGUGUGAAUUGCAAGAUGUGCAGUAAAACUAAGUUUGAGGUGGAAAUCUUGAAAGAGAAGGCAAGUGCAUAAGAUGAGAUCAUACAAAAAGAAAAAUAGUAUGUAUUUUCUUUAAAAGAAAAAAAAAGAAAAAAAAAAGAAAAAAAAAGAAAACAAAACAAAAGAGAAAAAUGCACUUGCCGAGACCUUAGAUUCUAACAGCUAUAAAAUGCUCGGAAAAAUUUGAGUAGAAAAAGAGUCAAAAGAGUGAAAUUAACCCCCAGAGUAUAUGUGGUGCACAGAAAAAAAGAGAAAGAAAAAUCACACAACGUGACUACCGAGUUCAAAACCCUUUGUUAUCCAAUUUUUUU